CCUACGGGAGGCAGCAGUGAGGAAUAUUGGUCAAUGGGCGGAAGCCUGAACCAGCCAAGUGGCGUGCAGGAUGACGGCCCUACGGGUUGUAAACUGCUUUUAUACGGGAAUAACGCGCCUUACGUGUAGGGCUUUGCAUGUACCGUAUGAAUAAGGACCGGCUAAUUCCGUGCCAGCAGCCGCGGUAAUACGGAAGGUCCGGGCGUUAUCCGGAUUUAUUGGGUUUAAAGGGAGCGUAGGCCGCAUGUCAAGCGUGCUGUGAAAUGUCCGGGCUCAACCCGGGCCUUGCAGCGCGAACUGGCGUGCUUGAGUCCGCGGAAAGCAGGCGGAAUUCGUCGUGUAGCGGUGGAAUGCUUAGAUAUGACGAAGAACCCCGAUUGCGAAGGCAGCUUGCUGCAGCGGAACUGACGCUGAUGCUCGAAAGCGCGGGUAUCGAACAGGAUUAGAUACCCGGGUAGUC
rnacentral:rRNA from 1 species